GGCGAACGGGUGAGUAUGUUCGGAACGUAUCCAUAGUGGGGGACACUACGAAAGUUAGGCUAAUACCGCAUACGAUCGAGAGAUGAAGUGGGGGACCGCAAGGCCUCACGCUUUAGAGCGGCCGAUAUCCGAUUACUUGUUGGUGAGUAAAGGCUUACCAAGGCUAUGAUCGGUACUGGUCUGAAGGAUGAUCACCACACUGGGACUGAACACGGCCCAACUCCUACGGGAGGCAGCAGUGGGGAAUUUUGGACAAUGGGGGCAACCCUGAUCCAGCCAUUCCGCGUGAGUGAAGAAGGCCUUCGGGUUGUAAAGCUCUUUUGUCGGGGACGAAACGGUUUCACCUAAUAUGUGGGACUACUGACGGUACCCGAAGAAUAAGCACCGGCUAACUACGUGCCAGCAGCCGCGGUAAUACGUAGGUGCGAGCGUUAAUCGGAAUUACUGGGCGUAAAGCGUGCGCAGGCGGUUGUGUAAGCCAGAUGUGAAAUCCCCGGGCUCAACCUGGGAAUGGCAUUUGGGACUGCACGGCUGGAGUAUGGCAGAGGGGACUAAAUUCCUGGUGUACAGUUGAAAUUGCGUAAUUUCAGAGGGAAUACC
rnacentral:rRNA from 1 species